rnacentral:rRNA from 2 species
GGAUCAGUGGCGAACGGGUGAGUAACACGUGAGCAACCUGCCCUCCACUUCGGGAUAAGCCUUGGAAACGGGGUCUAAUACCGGAUAUGAGCUCGCAUCGCAUGGUGUGGGUUGGAAAGUUUUUCGGUGGGGGAUGGGCUCGCGGCCUAUCAGCUUGUUGGUGGGGUGAUGGCCUACCAAGGCGUCGACGGGUAGCCGGCCUGAGAGGGCGACCGGCCACACUGGGACUGAGACACGGCCCAGACUCCUACGGGAGGCAGCAGUGGGGAAUAUUGCACAAUGGGCGAAAGCCUGAUGCAGCGACGCCGCGUGAGGGAUGACGGCCUUCGGGUUGUAAACCUCUUUCAGCAGGGAAGAAGCGCAAGUGACGGUACCUGCAGAAGAAGCGCCGGCUAACUACGUGCCAGCAGCCGCGGUAAUACGUAGGGCGCAAGCGUUGUCCGGAAUUAUUGGGCGUAAAGAGCUCGUAGGCGGUCUGUCGCGUCUGGUGUGAAAUCCCGAGGCUCAACCUCGGGCUUGCAUCGGGUACGGGCAGACUAGAGUGCGGUAGGGGAGACUGGAAUUCCUGGUGUAGCGGUGGAAUGCGCAGAUAUCAGGAGGAACACCGAUGGCGAAGGCAGGUCUCUGGGCCGCAACUGACGCUGAGGAGCGAAAGCAUGGGGAGCGAACAGGAUUAGAUACCCUGGUAGUCCAUGCCGUA